rnacentral:misc_RNA from 1 species
ACUCCGGAAGCUUUCCCGAUCGACAACCAGGUCGGGGGUGAAGAUGCGCCCAACCUUCAUGUCCGCCGUCAGCCUCCGCAAAGGAUUCUGAUGCGCCCAGUGUGACGCGUAGGAAUGUACAAAGCCAGGGUCGGUCCGCGGAGCGACGGCGGACAGGAGGCCACUGGAGCUAUCGAAGAGUGCAAAAUUGCACAGAUGCGCCCCGACAUAGUCCGCACAGGAGGUGAGGACCCGCGGCCAAAGAUCCCCAUCCAGCGCCGCAUCGUAGAUCAGAGCGACGAUCUCGGGAAAGCCCUGGCUUGCCAUGCCGCGUGCUCGACUCCCCGGUAGCAGCUGGAAGUCUCAACUUUGCCGAAAAGGCGCUGUAUCACCAGUCGACUAGGACG